rnacentral:tRNA from 1 species
AGUCAAUAAAUUUUAGAUAAAUUUAUACCUUGAAAGUAUAUAAAGAGAGUUAAAUUCUCUCAUUGACUU